rnacentral:tRNA from 1 species
GGAAGGUAUAGCUCAGUGGCAGAGUGUGUGCUUAGCAGACAUGAGGUCCUGGGUUCAAUCCCCAGUACCUCCA